rnacentral:rRNA from 1 species
GAUGAACGCUGGCGGCGUGCCUAAUACAUGCAAGUCGAGCGAACAGACGAGGAGCUUGCUCCUCUGACGUUAGCGGCGGACGGGUGAGUAACACGUGGAUAACCUACCUAUAAGACUGGGAUAACUUCGGGAAACCGGAGCUAAUACCGGAUAAUAUAUUGAACCGCAUGGUUCAAUAGUGAAGGACGGUUUUGCUGUCACUUAUAGAUGGAUCCGCGCCGCAUUAGCUAGUUGGUAAGGUAACGGCUUACCAAGGCAACGAUGCGUAGCCGACCUGAGAGGGUGAUCGGCCACACUGGAACUGAGACACGGUCCAGACUCCUACGGGAGGCAGCAGUAGGGAAUCUUCCGCAACGGGCGAAAGCUUGACGGAGCAACGCCGCGUGAGUGAUGAAGGUCUUCGGAUCGUAAAACUCUGUUAUUAGGGAAGAACAAAUGUGUAAGUAACUAUGCACGUCUUGACGGUACCUAAUCAGAAAGCCACGGCUAACUACGUG